CAUCUUUGGAGCAUCAGAUGUAUUCCCUAAGGAGGAUGGGUCUCCGUGAUGGGGGUGGUAUAAUUAUGUUAAUGUCAUAUUUAUGGAGGGAUCAACCACUUCAGAAGAACCAGAAUCCACUUCUGUGGCCAGGACUGUUAUGUUAUGGCUGGUCCGAUUGUUAUACCCUGCGUUCUAUGCUACUAAACCGUGGAUCAUUCCUAAAGUACCAAUUCUGUUCUUGAACCACAAACAAGGCUAAAAGAUCGGAGGAAAUUCAGUGUAUAUACAGGAUUGGGAUUGUGUAUUUUCAAAAGUAUUGAGCUUUAUAAUGCAAUUAUUUGAGAAAUAGAAUCUUUUAUGUUUCUUCUCAUGUUGCCAGCAUUUUAAGUUACAUGUUUAUUAAGUGGCAUUGCUCAAAUAGCUACAGAGUAUGCAUGGAAAUAUUUGCUGUCUGAAUAGUUUGGAGAUUCAAAGAGAAAAAUCAAGCUUCGGAGGUGUCUGAUGAUUUCUGAGCACCAAGUGACUAUUCUGUGGAGUCAUCUUUCCUUGCCUUUGAACGAGCUUUCCCUAGGCCAUGAGUCAACCUCAAUCUUUUGUACAUCCAAAUUGAAUUCCUGAAAACGGAUGAUGUGCCAACCAUUGUUCAGGGACAGGAACACAGCAAUGAAUGAACAUAAAGGAAAUUUAACGUGGAUUUCUGCUCUCUGCAAUCAAAACAAACCUGAGUUAGACAUUAACACCAAAAGUUAUGUUGGAAAAAGAAGACCCUAAAAUGGAAAAUUGGCUGAGUUGAGGUGAACUAAAUUACAACGAUGAUUCCAUGAUCCCAGGAUGGAAAUUGGCAAGCUUUGUUCUGCCACAAGAAGCAGGUUAAAAAGUUACCUGUUAAAUCUUUAGACUUCAUGUGCUUACUGAGGUUGGAGCUAUAGGAGAUUUACUGGAAAAUGUCAGAACUCUGGGAAUAGGUUCAAAUCCUUUGCUUCAGUAGGGUCUUGAACAACCAACACAAGCUUUUCUAUAAACUGGCCCAGCCAAAAUUAGAAAGUGCAUAGCACACGUUUGUUGAGAGACCAUGUCAUCUCUUCUUUCUCUGUCCCUCCUCACUUAGCUUGGGACAAAAUAUGAGGCACUGUUCAUCUUUCAAGAAGCAUUAAUUUCAUCAUCCCCAGUGGUCUUGGAUUGUUGACCAGAGGAAGAAAAGACAGCGAUAGAAGAGCUGAAGACAUGGAAAGAACUAUUCCAUAGACCCGUCUGUAUCA